AUUGAACGCUGGCGGCAUGCCUUACACAUGCAAGUCGAACGGCAGCACGGGUGCUUGCCCCUGGUGGCGAGUGGCGAACGGGUGAGUAAUACAUCGGAACAUGUCCUGUAGUGGGGGAUAGCCCGGCGAAAGCCGGAUUAAUACCGCAUACGAUCUACGGAUGAAAGCGGGGGACCUUCGGUCCUCGCGCUAUAGGGUUGGCCGAUGGCUGAUUAGCUAGUUGGUGGGGUAAAGGCCUACCAAGGCGACGAUCAGUAGAUGGUCUGAGAGGACGACCAGCCACACUGGGACUGAGACACGGCCCAGACUCCUACGGGAGGCAGCAGUGGGGAAUUUUGGACAAUGGGCGAAAGCCUGAUCCAGCAAUGCCGCGUGUGUGAAGAAGGCCUUCGGGUUGUAAAGCACUUUUGUCCGGAAAGAAAUCCUUGGCUCUAAUACAGUCGGGGGAUGACGGUACCGGAAGAAUAAGCACCGGAUAACUACGG
rnacentral:rRNA from 1 species